rnacentral:sRNA from 2 species
UACACAACAACGCCGAAUCCUGAUAAAGGUACGGGGGACAACUCUUGGGGUGAAUGUGCUUGCACUAGGGCAAUCCCUGCCCGAACCCGUCAACUAACCUCGGAGGCAUAAGGGGGACACCAU